rnacentral:rRNA from 1 species
AGAGUUUGAUCAUGGCUCAGGAUGAACGCUGGCGGCGUGCUUAACACAUGCAAGUCGAACGAAGCAAUUUUCUUGCUUGCAAGAAAAUUGACUUAGUGGCGGACGGGUGAGUAACGCGUGGGUAACCUGCCUCAUACAGGGGGAUAACAGUUGGAAACGACUGCUAAGACCGCAUAACCCGCUAGUGUCGCAUGACACGGACGGAAAAUAUUUAUAGGUAUGAGAUGGGCCCGCGUCUGAUUAGCUAGUUGGUAAGGUAACGGCUUACCAAGGCGACGAUCAGUAGCCGACUUGAGAGAGUGAUCGGCCACAUUGGGACUGAGACACGGCCCAAACUCCUACGGGAGGCAGCAGUGGGGAAUAUUGGACAAUGGGGGAAACCCUGAUCCAGCGAACCGCCGCGUGAGUGAAGAAGUAUUUCGGUAUGUAAAGCUCUAUCAGCAGGGAAGAUAAUGACAGUACCUGACUAAGAAGCCCCGGCUAACUACGUGCCAGCAGCGGC